UUGCAGUGUAGUAUAGAAUGGCUUUGAGUGUCAUAAUGGAGCUGACAUGUUAGCGCAGUCAUCCAGGGUCAUAAGGAAGACAGGUUACUUGGAGAGGGGUAACAUUCCGGACAAACAGAAUGUACCAAUGCCUUUAAAGAAAACUUCAUCACUCUGAAGAUGUGCCUAUACCACAAAUACAUCUUCUUCGUUCCAAUGUAGAAAUGACUAGAAAUGCUUGCAGAGGAGAAUGCUACCUACCAAAGGCCAUCAGAUAUCUAAUCACAACAGAACUUGCAUCUAUUUGCCUUUCGAUAUAUCUUCAGAAAAGAAAGGCUUUGGAAGAAAAUUGAAAGAAACAAAUCAAAAUGGAAAAUAUAUUUCCACAAGGUUCCAAGAAAUUAUUCAUUUUGAUGCUAUACAGACUCAGGAUGAGGGACUGAUUGCUUGGACUUCUCUGGUUUGAGUGUUAAUAAAAUGGGUUCCUUAACUUCA